UGACGAGCCAUUUUCGGGCGAAUUAAUUGUCAAAACUGAUGGCUUUCGAGCAGAUUUGCGACAAAAAACAUCUUUUCAAGCACAUUUCGAGCAGAACGGGGCAGCGAGUGAGAGAAAGCAGGAGGUGAAAAUAAAAUAUGGCGAAAAAUUCUACAGGCGGUCAAAGGCACGGAAGCUCCGAAUGAAAAAGCGAAUUUACCUAGUGAAAAGUGACUGUAAACGUACCUAAAUUGUGACAAACGCAUGGUAAAUGCGCCUAGCUCAUUGGACGCAUAGCGAAAAAUGCAGAAUGCUGAACAAUCCGGAGUGAAAAACCGGGAGAAAAUUGUUAAAUCAGUGAAUCAGCAGACUUCGUUGAAAUCGCAGCUGCAGCAGCAGCAGCAGCAGCCUUCAUCGUCGUCUUCGUCGUCGUGUUCGUUGUCUUUAUCCUCAUCAACAUCAACGGAAGGAGAGGAGGCAACGGCAAUCGUAUCAACUUCCCAGGGAAUAGCAGCAGAAACAGGAGCAGCCAACACUUCGUCAUCGACAUCCAAGAACAAUAGCAACAACAGCAGCACAAUCGGUGGUGGUAGUAGCAGCAACAGUAGUGGUGGUAUCGGCAAUAGUGGUAAUAGUGGAGUAACAAGCAGUGGAAACAGUGCUGCUGCUACUACCAUCGUCGACGUUGUUGCUGGUACGGCCACCACUUCUACGACAUUUUCGCCGUCAUCAUCAUCGGCCUUGCAUGCGGGACGGAAUGCUGAUGACGGAACGGACUCGGUCGUAGGAACAGCGGCGCAUCCACUGUCAGCAAGGGCGGAGACUGAAGAAGCUGCAGCUGGAAAGCUGAGGAACAGGCUUACACUUGCUGCAGCAGACACAGUAACGCUUCUCGGGGUUGAACCGAUUCGAACCCAGCUGCCUGGCAGCGUCAUUUGUAAAACCAGUUCUAAAAAUAAUGGUAAAACAAUGUCUUCGCCGAAGAGUUCCACAACAGCCACAAAGCCUGCUACGCCAUCGACCGUGCUCGUGGGUGCCAAUACACCGGGCGCCCCAGGAGCUGGUGAUGGUAGUAGCAGUACCGGCAAACAAGCUAACGCCAGCAACGGUACCAACGGUGACGACGACUGCAAGGUCGCAGCGGGAGGAACCGGAAGUACCACUGGUAUGUCGAAGCCGGCUCCUGGUGUGCCCAGCCAGAGCGCUGCACCUAGUUCGGCUAAUAUCAACAGUAAACCAUCAGCGACCAGCAAUAGCUCGUCUCCGACCAAGUCGGAUACCGAGACCUUCUCCGAGAUACAGCCUCGCGUUUCAGACUCGUCAGAGUCGGAAGAGGAAUCGGUGUCGGAGAUUUUGCUGGCUUGCCUAUGUCUAAGGCCAGAUCUGCUGGUUGACGACUUUGCGUUAGAUCAGCAGUCGAUUGAAAUACCGGAAACGGAAUGUUCCGACAGCUGUGAGAAUGACGUCGACAUGGAUGAGUCGGACAGUUGCGACAACGAUGCCGACGAUAAUGAAGAUUCUGAUGAAGACGACGAGGACGAUGAUGACGAUAUGGUUCAUAGUACGGUACCGGGAAAAUUUCUCUUAGAGAACGAUGAUGAUACCGAUCAUGAACGAGACGAAGCAGCGCAUGCCUUAACGCGAAUGAAAUCUAGCGAUGGCAGUCCAAGGGAUAAAAAUUUGCUAUCGCGUUCGCUGAUUGCGGCUUGCACUGAUAAUGAUGUGAAUACAGUGCGGCGUCUGCUCGUCGAAGGAAAUUCGUUGAACGAAGCCACCGAAGAAGGCGAUUCAUUGCUUUCCUUGGCAUGUUCCGCCGGUUAUUACGAGCUGGCUCAGGUACUGCUUGCAAUGUCCGCACAGGUUGACGAUCGUGGCCAAAAGAACGAUUGUACCCCACUGAUGGAAGCUGCAUCAGCUGGUCAUGUUGAGAUAAUAGAACUGUUGUUCAAGCAUGGCGCGGACGUGAAUGCGCAAUCGUCCACCGGUAACACUCCGCUCAUGUAUGCCUGCGCCGGAGGCCAUGAGAAGGCAGUGAAGUUACUGUUGGAUCACGGUGCUAAGGUGGAGGAUCACAACGAGAAUGGGCAUACUCCGCUAAUGGAAGCCGCCUCUGCGGGUCAUGUCGGAGUCGCCAAGAUUCUGUUGGAGCAUGGAGCCGGUAUUAAUACACAUUCUAAUGAGUUUAAGGAGAGUGCUCUAACGCUAGCCUGCUACAAGGGCCAUCUAGAUAUGGUUCGCUAUCUGUUGGAGGCUGGAGCUGACCAGGAGCAUAAGACCGAUGAAAUGCACACAGCUCUAAUGGAAGCGUCCAUGGAUGGGCAUGUGGAGGUGGCGCGGUUGCUGCUGGAUUCAGGAGCACAAGUAAAUAUGCCAACUGACUCAUUUGAAUCGCCGCUCACCCUAGCAGCAUGCGGAGGGCAUGUUGACCUGGCGAUGCUGCUUAUCGAUCGCGGAGCUAACAUCGAGGAAGUAAACGAUGAAGGCUAUACCCCGCUGAUGGAAGCUGCACGAGAGGGUCACGAGGAGAUGGUGGCACUGUUGCUACAACAGAAUGCGCAGAUCAAUGCUCAAACCGAAGAAACUCAAGAAACGGCUCUGACGCUAGCGUGUUGUGGAGGAUUCAUCGAGGUGGCAGAAUAUCUCAUCAAGAAUGGGGCAGAUAUUGAGCUCGGUGCGUCAACGCCGCUAAUGGAAGCUGCCCAAGAGGGUCACAUCGAUCUGGUGCGUUUUCUGCUUCAGCAUGGUGCAAAUGUACACGCGCAGACGCAAACGGGCGACACUGCGUUGACGUACGCGUGCGAGAAUGGUCAUACUGAGGUAGCGGACAUUCUGCUAAACUAUGGAGCUGAACUAGAACACGAAUCGGAAGGCGGUCGCACGCCGCUCAUGAAGGCGUGCCGCGCCGGUCAUUGGUGCAUAGUGAAGUUUCUGAUCGAACGUGGUGCAGACGUUAAUCGGCACACUACGAACAAUGAUCAUACGCCCCUCUCACUGGCCUGCACUGGCGGUCACCAGAAUGUUGUGGAGCUGUUGCUAAAGAACGGUGCAGAUCCCUUCCAUCGGCUGAAAGAUAGCAGUACAAUGCUGAUCGAGGCAGCCAAGGGUGGCCACAUUGGUGUUGUGCAGCUACUUCUGGACUUUCCGCAUUCGCUAAUGAACGCGAAUGCUGCCCAGCAGCAGAAUAUGCUUAGUAGUGGACAAAUGCAGCAACUACAACAGCAACAGGCACACCAGCAACAAUUGCAACAGCAACACCAGCAAGCCCAGCAGCUCAUUAUCACGCAGAACCAUCAGCAGCACCAGCAUCAUCAGCAACAACUGCAGCAAGCGCAACAGCAGCAGCAACAGUUGCUGGCGGGUCCUCCUGGUUUGCGCGAAGUACCCGAAGCGAUUCGUGUGAGUAACAAACAGAUUUUUCAACUGCCAAGCAAAGAUAUGCUAGAACAGCAGCAGCAACUGCAAGCCCAAGGACCUCCGCAACAACAGUCCCAGCAAGCUCAACUGCAACAGCAACAGCAACUUCAACAACACCAGCAGCUGCUUGCGAACAGUCACCAGCUUAUAAACCAGGCGAACAUGUUGCUGGACAGUAGUGGCAACGACACGUCCGUUCUGGCACAUCACCUUUUAGAAAUACAAGACCCUUCCCUAAAGGAUACCUUCCUCGAAGGUUUAGCGAUUGGUUUGCGCCCUCGCGUACGUCGCAUGACCAGCGGGCCAGCUGGGUCUGCUGGAUCGUCAACCACACCGCCGAUUUCCGGGCAACAGCAGCAACAAGAUCAAGCGACUGUUGCUCAACAACAAUUGAUACAAUAUUUACACCAACAUCAACAGCAGGCGCAACAGUUACAAGCAGCCCAGCCAAUCAUUCUACAAGGGAAUAGCGUCGUAACACAGCAGCAGCAACAACAUAUGCAGCAGCAGCAGGUGCCAACGGUUGUAGGUAACAACAAUGCAGCUGGGGCAGGUGGUAAUAAGCAACAGCGUAGCUUACUGCGCAAGAAGCAACAGCAACCAACAGUAGCACUGCCUUCGCCAUUCGAGGCAAAUCUAACCAGUUCCGAGGCACAGCAGGUUCGCAGCGAUCCUAUUGGUGAGGAUAAUAAUGGGAGCUGCAGUGGUGGAAUGAAAAACGUGUCCUCGUUGCAACAACAACCUCCUCCCCGUGUCAGCAACGUUGCGAUGCGAUCUGAUUACGAGCAGUAUCAGAAGCAGAUGAGUGAGAUCCAAUUCCAGAAGAAAGCGAAAAUACAAUUCAUCAGUGAUGCGAAAGGUCCACCGCCAACUCUUUUACCGCACACGGAAUCAUACCUUGCCAACUUGCAAAACAACUUGCCUCAGUCGCAACAGCAACAUCUUCAACUGGCAACAAUAGCUGCUAAUGCCGCCGGUACCUCUGUUGUUCCAGGCGGCACUAACAUCAGUCAGGCUACCGGCAGCACCAGCAGUGGCACUACCUUGACUGCCCCAUCGGAAGUGUCCCAAAGCACUGCCAUCAGCGAUCGUCCAAAGGUGAAACCUGUGUCCAAAAAAGAUGCCAAGAAUAAUCGGAAAACUGCAGCAGCAGCGGCGGCUGCAGCAGCUGCGGCAGUUGCAACCGCUACAGCCUCAGUACAGCAGCAGCAGCAACAAUCAUUCUGGCCUUUGACGAGUAAUAAUGCGACCGGUGGUAGCGGAAACGCCACCGGUGUCCUGCAGCAAAAUCCAAUGGUGUCAAUUUACAACAACUUGUCUGUGAUUCCAAGUUCCGACCAGAAUGUGCAAUUGUUGCAGCAAUCAAUGGCGAACUUGAAUCUUCAGUCACAGUCACCCGUAACGCCAUCCACCAUGCAAACGGCAUCGAUGUCUUCGAGUGGCAAACCAUCUGAUAAGAAAUCAUCAACGGAUGGUGGAAACGAUGUGAAGAAGAGUGAUUUUGGUAAUGCGAACGAGUCGUUCUCAGCUACUGCCGAUGUGAAACAUGACAGCAGUAUGAUUCCUACGUCGUUAGCCAAGCCGACGGUUAUCACGAGUAUUGUAGCGAAUCGCAGUUCAAAUGUUAAGCAAGACGAUGUCGCUGAAGGUUGUUCGGCAGAGCAGAUGUCCGUAUCAUCAUCGGUUCGUGGAACCGCAAAAGAAGCUACUGCCAGUGACAGUGCCAGCAGUAGUAGCAGCAGUAGCAGCAGCAGCGCAGGUGACAGUGGCUCAUCGGGCAACGUGAACGGCAGCUCUGCAGCUAGUAGCAGCAACUCUACAACCAACACAACGAGUACCGGCGACAGCAGCAGUGCACCAUCCGGGGAUGCCGGUGCUGCUGGCGAUGGCGAAGGAAGCACCAUCAGCAGUGGAAGCAUCAGUAGCAGUAAUAGCAGCGCUAGUAGCAGCGACAGCAGCACCACCACAAGCGCAAAUAACAACACUGCCGAAGGAGGAGAAGGAGGAGGAGGAACCGGUGCAGGUAAUGCCAAUGGUGAAGACGAAGGAGGUACCAGUGGUGGGAACGGUGGAACCGUGUCUAGCAUCGAUCCGGACAACCAGUUCAACCUUUUUGCGAUGGUCGAUCGUAAGUUGAUGCUCAAGAUCGCGCAUCGCUUGCUCGGCGAUACUUCCAAAUCACCUUCGGAAACACCACCGCUGACCAGCUGCCCAGGGUCGAACUUGGAACCUCCCGCUUCACCCCCGCCAGCGAUGAUAAACAAUGCCGAUAUCGAGUAUCCGGAGCUGUCGCGCAUCCUGUGCAGUUUCAGCGGCUCCGACAUACUGCCUGCACAAGAGUUCGUGCAAGUUCAUCAGCAUAUGCAAAACAUUAUUCAGCAUAAGAGCGGUAGCAAUCCUAUCAAACUCGGCGAUUCUACUGACGGCCAUCAGUAUGCGGAAGAAGGCGAGGAGCACCUGCCAAUGUUUAACAUCGAGGAAUCGGAUGCUGAAGGCAUCACCGAGUGUGUGGGUGGCAUGUAUCCUGCACUGAUGAAUGAUGAAACCCUCGAACAGUAUCACGGUGAAGACGGAUCAGUUACGCAGGCACACGGCUCGCGAGAAUCGACAUACAACUAUGAAUGGGUGGACAGCAUUGACGAUGUGAUCCAUGUGCUGAACGGAUGCCCCGAAAUUCCAAUGGCAUUGCACGAUAUGGCUGCCAAUUUCGGUUGCCAGGAUAUGGAUAUGUACGCAAAUCUGAUUGGUUUAAACUCGUUCUGCAAGACUCGUUGGGCGGGUAACCAGACCCAGAUAACUUCAGGUACAUCGUCACCGGUAGAAGACGGCAGUGGUAUGGUGACACUUAGCGAUCCGACGUUUGCUUAUCGUACCGCCCAAGCUGCUGGUCAGUUGUUAGCAUUGGAUCCGCAGCCAUUUUCAAUGCAGUCGAUUCAAUUGCUUAAUCAAAUUCAUGAGGCAUCUGUAUCACUGGCUUCCGCUUCCGGAACUGAACUACAUCAUCCGCCAGCAACAAGCAGCGGUGCCCAAGGACAGCAACCAAAGCUUGUGUUCAAUGUCGAUGCCGAUAAAGCUUCGCAAGUGCAUUUGCUGUUUCAACUGCCUACCAUGCAAUCUCAACAGCAACAACAGGAAAUGGCGCAGGAUCAACAGCACGAUCAUAUGAACAUGAUGGCUAACAGUAACCAACAGCAGUCGCAAAAUCAACAGCAGACACUUUCAUUGCAGCAGGCAGCUGGGCAGCAACAACAGCAGCAGUGUAAUAUAGCAGCAAUGCAACCGCACGCAGCGGCUGCUGCAGCAGCUGCUGCCAUUCAGCACGCUCAGCUUCAACAGCAACUACAUGCGCAGGGUAUGUCUGCUGGACAUUCCGGUUCAGUGGCCUUGCAGCAGCAACAACAACAACAACGACAGCAAAUGCAGCAUCUGCAGUCCCAGGCCCAGGGACAACAGCUGCAACAUUUGCAAACCCAGGGCCAGCAGCAGCAGCCCCAACAAUCGCAACAACAUUGUUUACAACAUGCCCAAAUGCAGGUUUCUACACAAACACCGCAACAACAACAGCAUGUCGCAUCGGCCAGAGGUGAGGAGGAAAUGUCCCCGCUGGUAAGGACACAACAUUUCGCUUUAAUGGACAACAACCAGCCAGCCAAUUCUGUCCCAGGCAGUGGAAAAUUAGGUGGCGGUACCGGUGGCGGAAAGAAGGGAGAGAAAAACCGAAAAGAAAAGAACCGUCUCGCUGCAGUGCCAGCAGUUCGUCAGGCACCGGCUGGCCAGCAGAGUGCUGGUGCAAAUGGUCAAAUUCAAAACUAUCAGUACGAUAGCACCAACAGCAAUACACGAUCGGUCGGCGGAGCAAUGGAUAUACCACCACCGAGUGGUGCCGUGCAACCGUUCCAUGCCGGUACCGGUAUGAUGCCACCACAGGGUGGCACAGUCGUAUCGGAGCGAACGAUUGAUGUAGACUCGGAAACCGAUUCGAAUCAUGAUACCGCAUUAACGCUGGCCUGUGCCGGCGGCCAUGAAGAUAUGGUGGAGCUGUUAAUUACCCGAGGUGCAAAUAUUGAGCACAAAGACAAGAAGGGUUUCACCCCGUUGAUAUUGGCAGCUACGGCCGGUCACGAAAAGGUGGUGGAUACGUUGCUUCGCAAUGGUGCCGAGAUCGAGGCACAGUCGGAACGAACCAAGGACACACCACUUUCGUUGGCCUGCUCUGGUGGACGGUAUGAGGUAGUUGAGCUGUUGCUCAGCAUGAACGCAAACCGAGAGCAUCGCAAUGUGUCCGAUUACACGCCACUCAGCUUAGCUGCUAGCGGUGGCUACGUGAACAUCAUUAAAUUGUUACUACAGCAUGGUGCAGAGAUAAACUCACGCACCGGAAGCAAACUAGGAAUUUCUCCGCUUAUGCUUGCUGCUAUGAAUGGGCAUGUUGCCGCUGUUAAGCUGCUGCUUGACAUGGGUUCGGAUAUAAACGCACAGAUUGAAACAAACCGUAAUACGGCGCUAACAUUGGCAUGCUUUCAAGGCCGGCACGAGGUGGUCAGCUUACUCUUAGACCGUAAGGCCAAUGUAGAGCAUCGUGCCAAGACAGGCCUUACGCCGCUGAUGGAAGCGGCUUCGGGCGGCUACAUCGAUGUCGGUCGCGUCCUGCUAGAUAAGGGAGCCGACGUUAAUGCUGCCCCAGUACCAUCAUCCCGCGAUACGGCGCUCACCAUCGCGGCUGACAAAGGUCAUCUGAAAUUCGUCGAACUGCUCCUAUCGCGUGGUGCCCUGGUAGAGGUGAAAAAUAAGAAAGGCAAUUCACCGCUCUGGCUUGCGGCAAACGGUGGUCAUCUGGGUGUGGUGGAAUUACUUUGUAGCGCCGGCGGUGAUAUUGAUUCGCAAGACAACCGGAAGGUUUCCUGUUUGAUGGCUGCCUUCCGGAAGGGCCACACGAAGGUAGUGAAAUGGAUGGUAGGUCAGGUGACACAGUUCCCGUCGGACCAAGAGAUGACGCGUUACAUCAACACGAUCAACGAGCAGGAACUGUUGGAAAAAUGUCACGAUUGUGUGAAAGUUAUCCGUGCUGCGAAGGAUCAGCAGGCAACCAAGGCGAACAUAAAUGCAUCCAUUCUGCUGAAGGAGCUUGAUCUCGAACGGUCGCUGGAGGAAAGCCGCAAAGCGGCUGCUGCCAAGCGUCGCGAAAGAAAAAAGCGACGCCGGGCGGAAAAGCGUGAGCAGCAGCGCAAGCUGGAGAUGGGCGAAGAAGGUGCUGGCGGGGAAGGAAACGAUGACGAGGAUGAAGAGGAGGAAGCCGAGGACGAGAAGGAAGAGGAGGAGGAGGAGGAAGAGGAUGUGGACAGCGAGCAUGACGAGGAUGAGUUGCUGCUUUCUGCUGCAAUGACGCAACAGUCGUCUAUUAACAACAAGAAUAAAAAUCGCAACUCCAAUCACGUGACCUCCCAGCUUCAUAACAAAUCGCAGCAAAAUCAUCGCGAGAAAGAGAAGGACGGGAAGGGCAAACAUAAGGACAAGGAGAAGGAUAAGCAUAAGGAUGUGGAGCGCGAAAAAGGAAGAGAGCCCAAUCAGGCUGGAUCUUCCUCAUCCAAUAGCAAUCAGCGCCAGCAGCAGCAGAAUGCGAACGGUCAGCUAUAUCAGUAUCGGCCAAUGUCGAUACCAUAUCAGGUACAAGAGGAAGGUGAUUCUGGUAUCGAUGCCAACAGCUUGGGUUCUUGUUCCAGCUCAGAGGUGAAGUCCUCAUCGAACAGCAGCGCGCUGGAGCAAAAGAAAAACAACAAGAAACGAAAGCAACAGCAGCAACAGCAACAACAGCAGGCACAAACGGCACGCGGUACGAUUGCCUCCACGAACGCAGCCGGUGCAGCAAGAGCAGCAAAGGCGGCCGCUGUCGCAAAUGCAUCUAGCGGUGGCAAAUCGUCCAGCAAUGCGCAACAGCAGCACCAACAAAGCAGCAACAAUCGGCAAUCGAAAAGCCCGGAGAGUGGUACUGUAUCAACGUCGAACGGUAAUACUGUGGUGCAGGAUAAAAACUCAAAGGAAAAGAAUCGGCGUCAACAGCAGGAGAAAGAGCAGCAGCAACAGCAAUAUGGCGGCGGUAGAGAAAAGCGUGAAAAAACGCUAGAGAAGGAAAACGUCGCACCGAAAGAUCACGAUCGUUCGGGUGGACUGACGAUGGCAACGAAGAACGAAAGCAAAAAAUCCUCUACUAACGAUCAUCAUCACCAUCAUCAGCAAAGUCAGCCGACGGGUAACAGCGGUACGGGCAGCAGUGGCGCAAUGCAGCAGUCACAGCAAAACAGUGUGGCGGGAAAUCGUAAAUCGAUUAUCGUGUUUGGUUCGGGCAACCGGCACACCUCGGAACAAAAUGAUGAACUGGUAUCAAGCGGUGGGGGCAACUUUUAUAACAAUGUCAGUGGCAGUGGAAAGAAAACGCAUGGUAACAAAACGUUUUACAACACUGCAAAUAAUGAGGAUCACGGUCAUCAUGGCAAGAUGUCCUCAGCUAGUCCGAUGAAGCAACAGGCCAUGUCUGGUGGAAUGUCUGUGUCACAGCAGCAGAAUGCAAACGUAUCACAGACCAACUCAAUGGGUGUUAAACGCGAAGAAGGCUGGAAGGAGGUUGUGCGCAAGAGUUCGGUACAACAGAGCGGCGGCAGCGGCGGUAGUAGUUCAGGGAGCAGCGGCACCGGAAGCAAUAGUGGCAGUGGUGGUGGUGGCGGCGGUGUUGGUAGCAGUGGAUCUUCUUCCUCGCCAAUGGAAUGUCGUAAAGUGCAGGUGCCGGUACAUGCCAUCUCGCGGGUAAUAGGGCGUGCUGGCAGCAACAUCAAUGCAAUCCGUGCCGCAACAGGAGCGCAUAUUGAGGUAGAGAAACAGGGAAAAAGCCAGGGUGACCGAUCGAUUACUAUCAAGGGAUCGCAAGAAGCGACCAAGCAGGCACACUCACUAAUCGUUACUCUCAUUAAGGAUCCCGAUGUAGACAUAUUGUUAAUGUUGCCAAAGCACAACGCUAGCAGCGGCAAUUCAACGCAAAAAAGCUAUGGUUCUUCGACAUCAGGUACUGGUGGUGGAUCAUCGGCUGGGCCACACUCCUCAGUAUCAUCGGGAGGGCUACUGUCGUCCGGUGGAACGUCGGCCCAACAGUCACCGGUUAUUGUGCCUGCGGCCAUUAUUCCAACCAAUGGUGCUGCUCCGACAAUGUCGGCUAUCGUGGCGUCGGGUGGUGUUGCAGCAGCUGCUGCAGCAGCAGCAGCAGCGGCCGCCGCAGCCGCAGCAGCCGCUGGCACUAACAACAAUUCGAUAGGAGGCCCCAUUAAGGGUGGAAAGAAUGUGUUUAGUGCUACAAACAAGUCUACCAAUGCGAACGCCGCUAACAUUGUUGCUAGCGGCAGCGCAUCAACAGCAACCAGUGCAGCGACCGUGGGUGUGGUUAACACUAAGACUCCGUCCACCCAAGGUUCGAUGCCGCCAAACUCAAGCGCUACACGGACGUCGACUACCAAGAAUCUGUUCCUAUCGUCGGCAGCGACAGCCUCGCCACAGCAACAGUCGUCCCGCGUGCUGACGGCAGCUUCCAGCAAUAAUGUCACUAAUAAUAGCGGCAGCGUGCCAUAUGCCGUUGCGGCUUCUGCUGGUCAGGGAAAGGAUGCAAAGCGACAACAGCCGACUUCACAAGCAUCACAGCAGCAAUCGUCCACCUUACUCGCAACCGGAGGACCAAAGGGACCGAUCCAUCACCCUGGUUUAGCAACGAGUGGUCCAUCAAGUGGAAACGUAUCGGCACCGUUCGGCAGUGUAGGAAUGCAAUCGAUGAAAUCGAAAAACCACAUCAAAGCACCAAAUGCAUCUAGCUCAGUACCACAGCCAGGUGGUACGAAUGUUAGCGGCAACACUGCCGGUACGGGAGCAGCCUCUGGCGUGGUAGGAUCGUUCGCCAAGUUGGUUGCUUCGGACGGCGGAAAUGCAGCCGGAAACAGUCAAAAGAAGUCAUUCGGCACUUCCGGUGCCGCUGGCGGCGGUUCUGGAAAUUCCUCUGUCAUGGCGCAACAGGGCCAACAGCAGCAGCAGCAACACCAUCAACAGCCAUCAGUUGGAGUGAUCGGAGGUCGCGCACCAGCACAAGUGCAGGAAUCUCCAGCUAAAAGUGGUGGAUCAGGGCUACCAGUACCAUUUGGUAGCAAUGCCAAUGCAGUUGGUGUUGGUGUGUCUACAAUUGGAUCACACAUGAUUUCAUCGAAUUCCCAUCAACCAACUGGAGGUGGAGGCGGUGGCAUUGGUAACGGCAAUGGAGGGGCUGGACAUCAGAAGAUUUCGUCGUUUAUUCCUCCCAUUGCAACAAGUGGUCCAGGUCCGACGAUUGUUGAAGCUUCGACCGUACCGCCAUUACCACCUAUCACUGUACCAAAUACAGCGAAUCCACUUGCUGCACCCGGAAGCGGACGAUCCAUUACACCAAUCGGACAACCACCAUCAUCGUCCGCAUCAGCAUCCGUAUGCUCGGUUUCGACCAUUUCAUCAUCCGGUACGUCGACCUCAUCGUCAGUGACGGGUCCCAUAGGUAGUCGUAGCGUUACUACACCAUCGCCGUUGCUGCAACAGCAAACCUCAACCACCUCGCCAACCAUCGGUGGUCAACUACACUCAAAGAUGCAACCUAUCGGAUCGCAUCAGCAGCUGCCACCUUCGCCUCCACCGUCGAACGUCUAUUCACUGUUCAAUGAUCCGUUUACCAAUAGCCAGUGGGGUGUUGGAGGAAACGGCACUGGAAGUAACGUUGGCGAUGUUGGAAAACCACCGCUGUACGGUGGGCAUCACCAUCAGCAACAGCAUCAUCUGUCACACGCGAAUGUUCCGCCGCAUCAUCAUCAGCAACAUCAUCAGCAGCAUGCAGGUGUCGGUGUUGGUGGUGCAGGUGGUGGUGUUUUGGCAACGUUCAUGGAGAACCCACCAACGCUGCAGGUCGACGCAUCUAAGGCUCCGGGUUACCGUGGAAAUGCGAUUUCUUCGCCAGUUAGCUCCAAAGCCUCGAGCAAUGCUACAACUCCUCCAUCAUCCAGCAUGUCCUCGCAUCAACAUCAACUUCAGCAGCAACCUCCAAUGCACCAAUCUUUGCAGCAGCAGCAGCAGCAGCAGGCCAAUGGAGGACAUUUAAAUCUCCACCAUCAGUCGCAACAGUCUCACUCGCAUCAGCAGCAGUCAUUGGGGCUUGGUCAUAUACUGAGUGGAGCGAACAGCGGUAGCAACAGCACAUCGCCACUCACCGGCUUGGGAAGCGGGACCGUCGGUGCACAGCAGCAACCUUCAACUUCCACGGUUGUUUCACGUGACUCGGGAGUUGUGAACAUGGUAAGUGGAGGACAUUCAUCUUCCUCUGCAUCAUCGUCCGUACCGUCAUCCACGUCCGGCGGUGGUCAACAUCAGCACCAUCCAUCCUCCUAUCAGUCGUCGAACGAGCCACCGAACGUCGGUAUGAAACCGACACCACCACCACAGUCGAUGCACGGUGGUGGUACUGGUAACGGCGCACAAGGCAACGGUGCUCCCGGCGGUGGUCUAGGCAUGCUGCGUUCGAUGAUGAACCUGUCCUCACACAUGCGGCAUCCGGUAGGUGGAAAUGGACCACCGGAUUACUUGAGCGGUGGUGGGAAUACUGGUGGACGCGACCAUUCUAGCGGCUUAGCACCACAGCAACCACCCGUAGGAAGUUCGCGGCCUCCGCCGCUUAUGUUUGAAAACGCUGGUAGUGGUGGUGGCCCUCCGGAUUCGCUUCAAUCCUCCUACCAACAACAUCUCGGUCUCGGUGGUAACGGGAACGCAGGUCUUCCGCCCAUUUCCCGCCUCAAUCCUAAGGCAUCGUCAUUCUCCGGUGGCAUUGGUCCUUCAGUUAUGCCACCGGCGCAACAUCAACCGGGCAAGAUGGGCCUGUCCAACAAUCAUCAGCCUUACGGUGGUAAUAAUGCAAGCGGUGGUGGCGGCGGCGGCGGAGGAUCUGGAAUGUUCCACGCGCCACCCCCAAUCGGCAUGGGUGGUGGAAAGUAUCCUUCGCUGUCAUCGUACAGUCUUGCACCGGGUCGUCCCAACAGUCAACAGCAACACGGUAGUGGUGGCGGAACAGGAGGCAACAGUAGUGGUGGUCCUCCACCCGUUGGUGGAAUGCAUCAUCGUGGUGGUACAGGCGGCGGAAACAACUGGUUCUCGUCUGAUUUAGGCCACCUACAGCGUGACAAUUUGAUGGGCAUGGAAAAUGGACUCGCAAUGGCGCUUAAUGCUGCCGUAGGUACUGGGUCGCCCAACAUAUCGCCAAACAACAACAAUGCGCAACAUACUAUAAACGGUGGUGUUGGUGGACUUGUUGCGCAGCAUCAGCAACAACAGCAACAACAGUCAAUGAUGGACGAUUCUCGGAAGCUACCCCGCGCCAUUGGUACCGAACGGGCCUGGAAAUAUGGUGGAAAUGGUAAUGUUGGUCUUGUGGGCAGUGGUAGCGGUGGUGGAGGUGCAGGUGCUGGUGCCGGUGGAGGAAACAAUGGUGGAAACAUGUACAAUACUGCCAUGGUAACGACAUACGUUGGACUGGACGGACCAGACAUAAUGAACGGUGGUGCAUCAGCGGCUGCAAUCGCGGCUGCGGCAGCUGCUUCCGGCAACCAACCGUGGAUGGGCAUGGACAAAAAUCAGUUUAUGGGCAGCGGCGGUGGUUUGGGAGGGUCGCAACAACAGCAUCAGCAACAACCACCUCUACCAUGGCUAACGCCGGCAGGAAUGAACAGACAGUACAUGGAUGAUAUUCAUAUACCGGAUCACUUCCAGCAACUACAAAUGGAUUAUCAUGGCAACAUUGGUGGAUCUGGACCGAGUGGACCCAAUCAACCUAACAUGAACUUCAUGCAGUAUCCAUUCACACCAUCCAACGAUAUGGUGGGAACGGCAGAACUGCGACCACCGUGGGAACAUGAAAAGCAUGGCUGGUCGCAAAAGUGGUCUGGACAUUAAACGAAGACAACCAAGCGAUCCUGUCGAAGAUGUCGGAAGCCAAUUUGUAAUAAUACUACACUUACCGUAAUACCAGCUGCUUUAGAAUCGGCAAUUAGAAAGGGAUAGAUAGUAGAAGGAAAAAUAGAAUCAGCAGAAAGAUUCGUUGUCAUAGGAGGUGGGAAUCGCUUUGAGCAUACCGAAAUGAACGCUAAUCUCAACUGUGUGUUCGAGCUACUCCGAUAGGAAACAGCACAACAUAUAUAGGAACGGUGGCGACAAAGAUGUAUAUCCCUUAACUUCGUUCACAGUAUGCCGCUUGUCGGUAAGCGUAAUAAGUCGGUUAACACAGUGUCUGCCUUGCAGUGAAAACAAACUCGACAAUUUUGCACAAGUACUACCACCAUACCGAGCAAAAAACUGACGAUUUCGCACGUUUUCUAGUAGUGUGACGUAAUCGGUUAGGAUAUAAAAUCAAUAUCAAGCCAGCCAAAUGCAUAGCAUAACAAGCAAGUAUAAAUAAUACCAGUACUACUAUAACAUCUACUAGAGUAAUAUCUACUUCUACCAUUAAAUACUAUCACUUAUAAGCUACACUUGAAUGCUAUCCUGAGAUAAACACGCAUAACAAAAUUUGCAUAUGAAACAAGCUCUACUACGCAGAAAAAAAACACACACACAAACACACUACUCAAGCCUAUUGAAAUUAUUGCCUACAAUGACGACUAGACACUACUUAGAGCGCAAAGAGCAAAAGAUCGAAAUUGAGCUGCCGAAUUCACCAAUGGCCGUGUGUUGGUAACGUAGUUGGUUAUAUUGUGCAUCUAAAGGUAAUGGCUAAAAGUUUCAAUUUUAGGAAUCUACAUUUAGAUAAAGCUGAGUCUACUACUCAACCACGGUCAGUUCUUCUACCCUGCUUGAACGUUGUUCAGCUAAUGUUCGAAGUUGGAUGUCGCACUAUGGGUAGUAAUUUGGAUAGCUUAGUAAAAAUGAAGUAGAAAUAGUGCAACCUAAUAGUAAAAGAAUUGAUUUACGCAAAAUAUUGAUCAUAACGAUCAUUCGAAACGGACAUUCUUCUUCUUCUUUUGGAUACCAUUUGGCACAGGUGGUAGGAACAAAAUUGGCAGAAAAAAAUGAUCCAACUCGGUUUUAAUGGAACUGUUUAUCAAAAGAAAAGAGAAAGGCUUUACCGUGUUAGUAGGGCGGCAAAAACAUGCUUUAUUUAAAUAGAAUCAUGCAACACGAAGUGAAAAAAGAUACUACGAGUGGAAGUAGAAACAAUUAUACCAAUAAUAACCAUUACACGGGCUUUAUAAAAUUAUUCUGAACCACGAGGUUAUGCUUUGAAAAACUAACGUUUGAGCCUACAAAGCUAUUCAUAUUUUGUCUAACCUAUUAUACAUCUAAAUCAUCAAAAACACACAGCUUCCUGGUGCCGCUUCGGUAAUUGCAAUGCACUUAUUUGAGCCAAUGAAUCAAUACAGUUUUCACAUAUACAUAUUAUCAACAAACAAAGCAAAUGGCGGUCUUCUUCAGGUUAAUUUCUCGGCACAGUAUAAAGAAACCGAUCGUAGAAGCCGGUUCGAAUAUCGGCAGCGAACAGUGAGUGGCACCUAAUUAGACACUUGAACGGGAAAACAUCCUGCAAUCUACAUUAUUUCUUUACGACGGACGACAGCAGCACUGUCAAACUCUAGUUUGAUUUGUAUGCUAUCAACAAGAAUAUCCGCAUUUAAAGUUAAACGAUAAAUGCUACUCGUGUGGGCUGUGGAGAGAAACACUUAAAAUUGGGACAGAAUGGACGUGAGGCUGUAUAAUCCUCGGCUUUACCACGCGAUCUUCAAUUGGGCCUUGAAGAUUCAUAGGAAAUGCCAGGGUAUGCUAAGGCCACCCGUUUCUAGUUCAAAUGUCGUAUCGAAUACGAAAGAAUUUUUUGUGCCGCAAAUACCCAGACAAAACCGUUCCCUUUGGUUGCAGGAUAUGUCCGACUCGAUGCGUUGUCGGACAACAAUUUUCAACAUUUUCGGUUUUACAUGGGUUGUAAACGUAUAGUUUUGGGUGUUUUGUUUUGUACCACGCCACGUAAAGAGCAAUCAAUGGUCGAAGAAAAUGAUGGACAUUGAAUGGGAAUGGAAAUGGCAAGCAGCACUGAAAGCUUCGCUAGUGUUUGUUCUUUUAGUUCAUUUAGUUGGGAUCCGUGUGUAAUUGUGGUUGGUCAGAGAAAUGGUAUCGCGACAGGCUAAUAACGCUUUGCGGGGACUAUCCAUUCGAUUAGCCUGUGUUAAGAUGAUCCAAAUUGAAUAAAUUGCUUGAAAAUUCAUACAACUAUAAUGUAGGCAAGUUUACUAAACAUGCGAUCGUGCAACCACCUACACACACUAUUUGCCGUUGUUCAAUGCAGAAGUCACGAGUGUAUGGCAAGCAGUAGAAGGAGGAAAACUGCAGUGUUUGUUGCACACAAUGAUAUUUAAGAAAUAAAUGAACGAUUGACGAAAGAACGAAGAGAAACAGAAAGAUUCCCGUUGAUACUGCUUGAAAAUAUACGAUGAAAAGAUCAUACGCAGAUGAAUGAAGAAGAAACAUGAUAAAGUCGAACCCAUGAGUCUUGAAAGACUCAACAGAAUGAGAGGAAAAGAGAACAUAUUUGCAAAAUAUGCUAACAUGUAUUGGAAACUUAUGUAGUCGAUGAAGAAAACAUACUACCAACAACGGGAAACAUGAGUAAAGAAUUACAGUGGACAUAUAGAGAAAACAGUUAUAGAACUAGAAAUAACGCUAACGGUAGAUUAAAAAAGGCAAAAUAAAACAGAAACCCAUUCACUCACAACACUAUCCGUGCAGUGUGUGCGUGUGGUGAACCUGAUAUAUACGUUGUCGGUAAAAUGAUAAAACGGAAGGAAGAUGAAAAAAAAAAACACACACACACACACAUGAUGCAAAACAAGCAAAACCCGUACAGAUUAAUGAUUACUGAUGGAUUAUUGAAUAAUUAUUAUUAUUAUAUAUUAUUAUUCUAUAAAUUAUAUAUUAUAUUUGGAAAGUAACCAAUAUAAAAACUGAAAACGGAAUAUUAUAAGUAAUGAAGCAGAAAAACAAA